rnacentral:rRNA from 1 species
UACAGAGGGCGCGAGCGUUGUCCGGAAUGACUGGGCGUAAAGGGCGCGUAGGCGGUUUGUACAGUCAGGUGUGAAAUUCCCGGGCUCAACCUGGGGGCUGCACUUGAUACGUAUGGACUGGAGUGGGGAAGAGGGUCGUGGAAUUCCCAGUGUAGAGGUGAAAUUCGUAGAUAUUGGGAAGAACACCGGUGGCGAAGGCGGCGACCUGGUCCUUGACUGACGCUGAGGCGCGAAAGCGUGGGGAGCAAACAGG